AGAGUUUGAUCCUGGCUCAGAACGAACGCUGGCGGCGUGGCUAAGACAUGCAAGUUGAACGGACUAUUCUGACGAGUAAUCAGACGAAUAGUUAGUGGCGAACGGGUGAGUAAUGGAUAGGUAACGUGCCCUGUGCUCCGGGAUAGCGUCUCCGAAAGGGGCGGUAAUACCGGAUGAUGUCGUCUGUCGAUGGGCGGACGACCAAAGAUUCAUCGGCGCGGGAGCGGCCUAUCUCCUAUCAGCUUGUUGGUGAGGUAACGGCUCACCAAGGCGAUGACGGGUAGCGGGACUGAGAGGUUGGCCCGCCACAUCGGGACUGAGACACUGCCCGGACCCCCACGGGGGGCUGCAGUAACGAAUCUUGGGCAAUGAGCGAAAGCUUGACCCAGCGACGCCGCGUGUAGGAGGAAGUCCUUCGGGAUGUAAACUACUGUCAGGGGGACGAAAGUGCGCUUCGGCGCAUUGAUCGAANCCCAGAGGAAGUCACGGCUAACUUCGUGCCAGCAGCCGCGGUAAUACGAAGGUGGCAAGCGUUGUUCGGUAUCACUGGGCUUAAAGCGUGUGUAGGCGGAAGCGUCAGCGUUUUGUGAAAUCCCCCGGCUCAACCGGGGAAUUGCUUGACGAACUGCGCUCUAGGCAG
rnacentral:rRNA from 1 species